ACAGUACUGUGAUAACUGA
rnacentral:ncRNA from 2 species